UACGUAGGGCGCAAGCGUUGUCCGGAAUUAUUGGGCGUAAAGAGCUCGUAGGCGGCUUGUCACGUCGGGUGUGAAAGCCCCGGGGCUUAACCCCGGGUCUGCAUUCGAUACGGGCAGGCUAGAGUGUGGUAGGGGAGAUCGGAAUUCCUGGUGUAGCGGUGAAAUGCGCAGAUAUCAGGAGGAACACCGGUGGCGAAGGCGGAUCUCUGGGCCAUUACUGACGCUGAGGAGCGAAAGCGUGGGGAGCGAACAGG
rnacentral:rRNA from 1 species